GACGAACGCUGGCGGCGUGCUUAAAACAUGCAAGUCGAACGAGGUCCAACCAGUGGCAACACUGGAGAAGACCUAGUGGCGAACGGGUGAGUAACACGUGAGGAACCUGCCCCGAAGACUGGGAUAAGCCCCCGAAAGGGGGUCUAAUACCGGAUGUCCUCAUCAGGUCGCAUGGCCAGAUGAGGAAAGGUCCGCUGCUUUGGGAGGGCCUCGCGGCCUAUCAGCUUGUUGGUGAGGAACGGCUCACCAAGGCAACGACGGGUAGCUGGUCUGAGAGGACGAUCAGCCACACUGGGACUGAGACACGGCCCAGACUCCUACGGGAGGCAGCAGUUAGGAAUCUUGCGCAAUGGGCGAAAGCCUGACGCAGCAACGCCGCGUGCGGGAUGACGG
rnacentral:rRNA from 1 species